CCCGUCCCUUCUGCUGCACUUCUUGGAAACUCCUCCAUUUCUUCCUCUCCUCCGUCUCACACCAAGCCGUCACCGUCGUUGGGAUGUUCGAUCUCUGAUGUAUUCGAGGAUCGAGAGCCACCACGGCAUCGCCACCGUAGUCCCUACGGCGGGCCGUUCCUCCUCUUCACACCACGCGGCUCCUCCCCCUUCCCCUUCCCCGUGUUUCCGCAUUGGGGUUACUGCGAAAUCGGAGUAUUGGAAAACUCUUCCAGUAAGAUCGGUUGAAUGAGAAUUGUUCUGAAGCUCAUUUCAAUCGCUUUACAUGCAAACCAUAGUGGUUUUGACGAAUCACUUUCGGUUUGCGCUUGUGGUGUUUCUGAUCUUUUGCCAUUGUCUUGAUCAGGGUUUCUAUCUACAUAUUUUCAUCGGUGAAUCUUUUCUCGGCAUGUAAUUUCUGCAUCUUUAGAUAUGUGUCGGAUGCAAUGACUUUCGAUGCCAAAUUUAGAACGGAUCACCUGAUGCUCUUGCCUUUCAAAUUUUUGGUUAAGCCCUUUUAGUUCGACUUGGUGAUCAUUGAGCUGUCUCUCGCACUAACUGGUUUUAAUAUAUAUCCACAAGUGCUAAGUUCCACUACAACUGUAGAGACAAAUAAUGAUCGAAGAACUCCACUUAAACAGGCUUUCACUGCACACUUCUCUCUUGUCCCUAUGCCCCAUUUUGGGCCCAUUCUUUUUGGAAGUAAGUAAUCUUAUGAUCAAUGUUUACGUAGUUUCAUUCGUUCGUUAACUAGUUAACAGAGCAUCUGUUGUUUUAGGGGAUUUUGAUUGAGCAUCUCUGUUUGUAGCUUUUCGAGUGUAUGAUGGAAAUAGAUUUUUGAGUGCUUUAGUAAUAUAUAUUCUUUAAAUUUGAUACCUUGUCUUUUCUGGUUCAAAUGAAAUAGUAUGGCAGUUUCACUUUUCUUGGAUUUGCUUCUCCUUAAUGGUGUCCAUUGUUGUGGCGUUUGGUGGGAAUGUAGUCACCGUUUUCAUGAUUGCCAUGCUAGGCAUUACAAACCAGAACAAACCGAGAAGUUGGAGGGUGUGUUUUGAUUCUACAUGAAUCUCUUCAACCAAGAGGUUGUAAUGCUGUUUACUUAUAUGUUGAUGUGUGUUCGAUUGCUGAUGUAGUCAGAUCAGAAUCAUAACAAACUGGGUGGUUCACACGGUCCACUAAAUGUUUUAAAUUUAUGCAUUGUACUUCUUACUCCUGUGCAUGCAUGGGUUCUUUACCCUCCUAACAUUGCACUGUGGAAGUUAUUAACGUGUUUUGACCAAUUUGAUUGGAAUCAAAUCACAGAGGGGUGUUCAACUAAGCUAAUCAUUCAACUUGAUGUCCAUCCGAGGCGUGUUUGGAAGAGCACUUUUCUAUGUGCUUCCAAUCCUCGAAGCAAAGUCUCUCAUUUCUAGACAUAGCUUGCUUGCUGAACGCUAAAUAUUACAAAGGCUGGGUUAUUUAUUCUUCAUGGCUUUUCAGAUGUUCUAGGUUUGCAAUCUAGGUGAGCUUCUUAGCCAUGUUGGUUUUACCUCAUUGAAUCUUGUAGCAUUUCCUAGAUAUAUCCUCCAUAAUUCUCUUCCUUCUGCUUUGCGGGCAUAACGAUGUCGGCCUUGAAGUGCCCUUGUGGUUCCUUCUAUAUUUUAAGGAUGUUUCUUUUAUAUGCAGUUUUUUUAUUGCUUCAUGAGGAAGUACUAAGCGUACCAACAAUGUAGGUAUGAUGUGGAUUAGACAAAAUAUCAUCAUCAAGAGUGACCACCCCUGGAGCUAUGGUUUUCCUUGUGCUCACAUGUCUGUUCUUGCUCAGUUUCAAAUACUCCUCAUUGAGAAACUGAUGUGAAUAGGAAGAAAACUCAAGCAAAGAACGGGUGGGAGUGCAGAGGGAGAAGGAUACUUCAGGUGGGAGCUCAUCGAAGUAAGCGUGUAUCACUUCUGUUUAUGCUAAGAAAAAGGCGCCAGUACUAGCAGCCACUUGCACAUACAAGAACCAAAGAAAGAGCGAGUGAACAUCUCUGUUUGUGGCUUUUCAAGUGUGGGAUGGAAAUAGAUUGUUCGAGUGCUUUAAUAAUGUAUAUCCUUCAAAUUUGAUACCUCAUCUUUUCUGGUUCAACUGGAAUAGUAUGGCGGUUUUGCUUUUCUUUGAUUAGCUUCCCCUCAACAGUGUCCACAGUUGUGGCAUUUGGUGGGACUGUAGUUACCAUUUUCUUGAUUGCCAUGCUAGGCAAACAGGAACAGACCGAGGACUUAGAGGGUAUGUUUUGGUUCUCCAUGAAUCACUUCAACCAAGAGGUAGUAUCAUAUGAUGCUUUUUACUUAUAUGUUGAUGUGUUUGUUCAACUGCUGAUGUAAUCAAAUCAGAAUCAUGACAAAUAGGGUGGUUCACCGGUCCACUAAAUGUUUAAGUGUAUGCUUUGGGCAUCUAACUCUUGUGCAUGCAUGGGUUCUUUACCCUCCUAACAUUACAUUGUGGAAGUUAUUAA